UCCCAGGUGGCCUAGCAGUUAAAGACUCAGCACUGUCACUGCUGUGGCUUGGGUUGAUCCCUGGCCUGGGAA
rnacentral:tRNA from 1 species